GACGAACGCUGGCGGCGUGCCUAAUACAUGCAAGUCGAACGCAUUUUCUUUCACCGUAGCUUGCUACACCGAAAGAAACUGAGUGGCGAACGGGUGAGUAACACGUGGGUAACCUGCCCAUCAGCGGGGGAUAACACUUGGAAACAGGUGCUAAUACCGCAUAAUUCCAUUUACUGCAUGGUAGAUGGAUGAAAGGCGCUUUUGCGUCACUGAUGGAUGGACCCGCGGUGCAUUAGCUAGUUGGUGGGGUAACGGCCUACCAAGGCUGCGAUGCAUAGCCGACCGGAGAGGGUGAUCGGCCACACUGGGACUGAGACACGGCCCAGACUCCUACGGGAGGCAGCAGGAGGGAAUCUUCGGCAAUGGACGCAAGUCUGACCGAGAAACGCCGCGUGAGUGAAGAAGGGUUUCGGAUCGUAAAACUCGGUUGUUAGAAAAGAACAAGGAUGAGAGUGGAAAGUUCAUCCCUUGACGGUAUCUAACCAGAAAGCCACGGCUAACUACGUG
rnacentral:rRNA from 1 species